GACGAACGCUGGCGGCGUGCCUAAUACAUGCAAGUAGAACGCUGAAGGAGGAGCUUGCUUCUCUGGAUGAGUUGCGAACGGGUGAGUAACGCGUAGGUAACCUGCCUGGUAGCGGGGGAUAACUAUUGGAAACGAUAGCUAAUACCGCAUAAGAGUAGAUGUUGCAUGACAUUUGCUUAAAAGGUGCAAUUGCAUCACUACCAGAUGGACCUGCGUUGUAUUAGCUAGUUGGUGAGGUAACGGCUCACCAAGGCAACGAUACAUAGCCGACCUGAGAGGGUGAUCGGCCACACUGGGACUGAGACACGGCCCAGACUCCUACGGGAGGCAGCAGUAGGGAAUCUUCGGCAAUGGACGGAAGUCUGACCGAGCAACGCCGCGUGAGUGAAGAAGGUUUUCGGAUCGUAAAGCUCUGUUGUAAGAGAAGAACGAGUGUGAGAGUGGAAAGUUCACACUGUGACGGUAUCUACCA
rnacentral:rRNA from 1 species